AGGCAGAGUGCAGAGGACACCCGAAAUGGAUCCGAAUCUCUACGAAAAACGACUGUGUAAAUUCUAUAAAUUCAUUCUUCAAGCUUCAUACAAGCUCCACUUGCCACCUGAAACCAAUGUGCUCCUAAAAGAUUGUGCUGGAGUUGAUGUGGAUGCUGAUAUUUUUGUUGAUGUCCUGCAAGCUGAGGCAGAGUUCUCUGGAUCCUGAUGGAUGCCCUGAGUCAUAAUUUUCAUCGGAGGAUCCCACCAUGUCUGGAUAUACAAGUAUGCAGUACAUCAAUGCACUUUCUCAAUUGACGAUCUUUGGUAAUAUAUAAGGCUCUCUUUGGAGAUGACAUCUCAUCUCAGACAGAAUUAUUUGAAAAAUGGAAAACGUUUUACAGGAACAUCCAAAAUAAUUGCUGACCAUCAAAACCUAUGACAUGUUGCACAUGUUGACAACCUUUUAUCUGGUCAGCAGCAGUCUGAUUAUGGUAAGUAUUCAUAGAUUUUUCAAUGGUUUGAAGUUAAACUGUAUACCCAUGGUUGUGUGUGUGUUUAUUCUGCUAGGAUGGGACAGUGAUGUGGAGGCUCUCUUGCUCCUUCAUCUCGUGCCUCAAACUGUAAACGGUGAAACU